UGUUAUUUCAUUCUUUGGCUUUAUGCUUUCUGCAUAAAGCAAGGGAUUAUCUUUUGCUGCAAUUUUAUUUUCUAGGGAUUUGUGUUGACAACCCCAUCAGUGAUAUCAAAUGGUGAAUGAUGAUUCUUAAUUAACAGCCCCCUGGGUAUUCCAAAGUAACUGUAAGAAUUAUGACUCUCUAUUAAUAAAAUUAUAGAUGCCUAGCCUCACUGCUGAGCAAAUAAAGUGACUUGCCCAUAGCCACAACAAGACAGCAGAAACAGAAUGGCAGCCAGGGUGGCAAGCUGUUUUCAGUGGAUAGUAAUAUACACACUUGCCCAAAAGAGUAAAGCCUCAGCUGAAUGGCAGGAAUCUUGCUGCAGGAUGUUUGCGCCAAGAAAACCAGAGGUUGUUAUGGGAGACAAGACGCAGAUGUUUUAUUCCCAGAACCAAGCCAAGAAGAUCAGCGGCAGAGACUCAAGCAUCUGUCACGCAACUCCCGUCACGUGACUAGCAUUUUCACUUUCCAACUACUGAAGCCUGAAGCACCUGAACUCUAACGUUAGCUAGCUAAUGAUGAUAGGCAACUUGCACUAACUUUGAUCACAUAACUUUUUGGGUGCCAAAGUAGCGCGCACUCCGGCUGUUGGCGCAAAUUAACAACAAAAAAGCAACUUAUCCAGCUCUUACGGAUCAGCCAGAAGGUUUUCGUGUGUCAGAUUUAUUUAUUUUUGAUUUCCGUAUGUCGUUUCCUGCGAUUAUCACGGCUAGCGCGUCGGCGUUGUUCGUUCGCCAGCGAUAUAAGCAGCUCGGAGUGCGUCACACUUCUGAUUCUUUCAGUAAGUUUCUUGCUCUGAUUCUCCUCCUGAAUUUAUUUAAUGCUCCUCAUAAAUUUAUCUUGUUCUGAUGUUCUCUGUAAAUUUACCUUGGUCUGUUGGUACGAGAAGCACCAGAGAGCAUGGUAAAUUUACGAACAGCAUCAGAGAGCGUGGUAAGUUUACGAAAAGCAUCAGAGAGCGUGGUAAAUUUACUGAGAACACCAGCGAGCGUGGUAAAUUUACGGACUCAGAGCGUGGUUAAUUUACGGAGAGCAUCAGAGAGCAUGGUAAAUUUACUGAGAACACCAGCGAGAGUGGUAAAUUUACGGAGAGCACAGAGAGCAUGGUUACUUUACGGAGAGCAUCAGAAAGAAUUGUAAAUUUACUGAGAACACCAGCGAGCGUGAUAAAUUUACGGAGAGCCUCAAAGAGAACGGUAAAUUUACGGAUAGCAUCAGAGAGCGUGGUAAUUUUACGAAGAGCACAGAGAGCAUGGUAACUUUACGGAGAGCAUCAGAUAGCAUGAUAAAUUUACGGGGAACAUCAGAGAGCAUAGUAAAUUUACGGAGAGCAUCGGAGAGAACGGUAAAUUUACGGAUAGCAUCAGAGAGCGUGGUAGUUUUACGAAGAGCACAGAGAGCAUGGUAACUUUACGGAGAGCAUCAGAGAGCAUGGUAAAUUUACGGGGAGCAUCAGAGUGCAUAGUAAAUUCGCAGUGUCUACUUGCACGGCUUGCAGGAGGAAAAAAAACUAGCUGCACGGCUGUCUCCUAAUUUCUCGAUUUUUAGCCUAAAUAACAAGUUUCUGGCUUUGAAACACUUCCACGAUUAUUAAGAUUAGCCAAGAGAUGUUUUUUAGCUUGAAAAGCUGUGCAUUGAGUGACCCGCAAAUGCUCGGCACAGUAUGGACGAAGCGUGGAGUUCGACACCUCGUUUUCGCCAUAACAGCUGUGCAAGGAGAAAAAAAGUAGAUGCAAUUCCCUUUUUUCUUUUUGCCAUUAAGCCAAAACGAAAAGUUUUGACUUUAAAAACCGUUAUUUAGAACCGUCAAACGAUGGCCUCGAGCUUGAACAAAUUCGCAAAAGGCGACAUGCGAGUGCACAUAAUGAACGAUGCAUGAAAUGUCGAACUCCACGCUUCGUUCAUACUUUGCCGAGCAUUUGCGGGCCGCUCAACCAGGUCAAGAGACUGCAAGUAAUCGUCCAUUUCGUCGACAAGUUUCGUCCAGUUAUUCGCAGAUUGUCGAAAUGGACCAUGAUUAAACAGAAUGAGACUAUUUUUGAUCUCGAAAAAGUCCAAAUGGACAAGACCAUAGAAUGUUUAUAUCCGUGCUUUUUUUAAAUAAGCGUAUCUGUAAAAAAAUGACAACUCUGGAUAGGGUAAAUUAAGAAAACUCCCGUAAAAGCGUAGGCGUACUAGCAGAUUAUUUCUCUUAAAUGACCAGAUCUUAUAUCAAGGUACAAUUACCGCUAACCACAAAUUUAGAAAAUGGGCCGAAGAAGGCAAAUGAUGCAUGUUUUUCUAUCAUUUUAUACCGUUACUAAGAAAAUAUCACGUAAGUGCAAAAGUGCAGAUUUUGAUUUUA